rnacentral:rRNA from 1 species
GACGAACGCUGGCGGCGUGCUUAACACAUGCAAGUCGAACGGAAAGGCCCUGCUUAUGUGGGGUGCUCGGGUGGCGAACGGGUGAGUAACACGUGAGUAACCUGCCCUUGACUGUGGGAUAACUUCAGGAAACUGGGGCUAAUACCGGAUAGGAGCUCCUGCUGCAUGAUGGGGGUUGGAAAGCUUCGGCGGUUGGGGAUGGACUCGCGGCUUAUCAGCUUGUUGGUGGGGUAGUGGCAUACGAAGGCUUCGACGGGUAGCCGGCCUGAUAGGCGCACCGGGAACAAGGGUAUUGGGAUAAGACGCUGAAUCCUAGCGGGGGCAACAAGGCGGAAUCUUGCACAAUGGGCUGAGCCGAGAUGCAACCGCGCCGCGCGCGGGAAGCCCGUCUGCGGGUAGUAAUACACUUUCUACUGUGACGGAGCGAGAAUGACGGUAACGGGCAAAGAAGCCCCGGCUAACUUCGUG